CAGUAGCCGCGGGAGUACGGAGGGCGCGAGCGUUACCCGGAUUUACUGGGCGUAAAGGGCGUGUAGGCGGCCUGGGGCGUCCCAUGUGAAAGGCCACGGCUCAACCGUGGAGGAGCGUGGGAUACGCUCAGGCUAGAGGGUGGGAGAGGGUGGUGGAAUUCCCGGAGUAGCGGUGAAAUGCGCAGAUACCGGGAGGAACGCCGAUGGCGAAGGCAGCCACCUGGUCCACUUCUGACGCUGAGGCGCGAAAGCGUGGGGAGCAAACCGGAUUAGAUACCCCUGUAGUCCCUGUCUCUUAUAC
rnacentral:rRNA from 1 species